rnacentral:tRNA from 1 species
GGGGACGUGGCGGAAUGGUAGACGCACAGGACUUAAAAUCCUGGGAACGAUACGUUCGUGAGGGUUCGACUCCCUCCGUCCCCA